UGGGGAAUAUUGCACAAUGGGCGCAAGCCUGAUGCAGCCAUGCCGCGUGUGUGAAGAAGGCCUUCGGGUUGUAAAGCACUUUCAGCGAGGAGGAAGGUGGUGAACUUAAUACGUUCAUCAAUUGACGUUACUCGCAGAAGAAGCACCGGCUAACUCCGUGCCAGCAGCCGCGGUAAUACGGAGGGUGCAAGCGUUAAUCGGAAUUACUGGGCGUAAAGCGCACGCAGGCGGUUUGUUAAGUCAGAUGUGAAAUCCCCGGGCUCAACCUGGGAACUGCAUUUGAAACUGGCAAGCUAGAGUCUCGUAGAGGGGGGUAGAAUUCCAGGUGUAGCGGUGAAAUGCGUAGAGAUCUGGAGGAAUACCGGUGGCGAAGGCGGCCCCCCUGGACGAAGACUGACGCUCAGGUGCGAAAAGCGUGGGGCAGCAAACAGGAUUAGAUACCCUGGUAGUCCACGCUGUAAGCGAUGUCGAUUUGGAGGUGUGCCCUUGAGGCGUGGCUUCCGGAGCUAACGCGUUAAAUCGACCGCCUGGGGAGUACGGCCGCAAGGUUAAAACUUAAAUGAAUUGACGGGGUCAU
rnacentral:rRNA from 1 species